rnacentral:rRNA from 1 species
UACGGAGGGUGCAAACGUUGCUCGGAAUUACUGGGCGUAAAGCGCGCGCAGGCGGGCUUAUAAGUCGAUUGUGAAAUCCCAGGGCUUAACCUUGGAAUUGCAGUCGAAACUGUAAGUCUUGAGUGCCUAAGAGGAUGGCGGAAUUGCCGGUGUAGUAGUGAAAUACGUAGAUAUCGGGAGGAACACCAGUGGCGAAGGCGACUUCCUGGCCUGUUCUUGACGCUGAGGCGCGAAAGCUAGGGUAGCAAACGGG